rnacentral:rRNA from 1 species
UACGGAGGGUGCAAGCGUUAUCCGGAUUUACUGGGCGUAAAGAGCGUGUAGGCGGCCAGGUAGGUCUGGUGUGAAAACUCGAGGCUUAACCUCGAGAUGUCAUCGGAAACCAUUUGGCUAGAGUCCGGAAGAGGAGAGUGGAAUUCCUGGUGUAGCGGUGAAAUGCGCAGAUAUCAGGAAGAACACCAAUGGCGAAAGCAGCUCUCUGGGACGGUACUGACGCUGAGACGCGAAAGCGUGGGGAGCGAACAGG